GACGAACGCUGGCGGCGUGCCUAACACAUGCAAGUCGAACGGGACCGGGGGCAACUCCGGUUCAGUGGCGGACGGGUGCGUAACACGUGAGGAACAUGACCUUCGGCGGGGGAUAGCCGGCCCAACGGCCGGGUAAUACCGCGUACGACCAUUCGGGGACAUCCCUGGAUGGUGAAAGCAGCAAUGCGCCGAUGGAGUGCCUCGCGGCCUAUCAGCUAGUUGGUGGGGUAACGGCCUACCAAGGCGACGACGGGUAGCUGGUCUGAGAGGAUGGCCAGCCACAUUGGGACUGAGACACGGCCCAGACUCCUACGGGAGGCAGCAGUGGGGAAUAUUGCGCAAUGGACGAAAGUCUGACGCAGCGACGCCGCGUGUGGGAUGACGGUCUUCGGAUUGUAAACCACUGUCGGGAGGGACGAAUACGCCGCAAGGCGGGUGACGGUACCUCCAAAGGAAGCACCGGCUAACUCCGUGCCAGCAGCCGCGGUAAUACGGAGGGUGCGAGCGUGUCGGA
rnacentral:rRNA from 1 species